rnacentral:rRNA from 1 species
CCUACGGGGGGCUGCAGUCGAGAAUCUUCGGCAAUGGGCGCAAGCCUGACCGAGCGACGCCGCGUGCGGGAUGAAGGCCUUCGGGUUGUAAACCGCUGUCGAGGGGAAUGAAGUGCAGGUGGGUUCUCCCAUCUGUUUGACAGAUCCCUGGAGGAAGCAUGGGCUAAGUUCGUUCCAGCAGCCGCGGUAAGACGAACCAUGCAACCGUCUGGCGUUAACACUGGCCUUGAAGCGUGUGUUAGCCAGGUGUGAAAGCCCUCAGCCCAACUGAGGAAGUGCGCUUGAUACUGCAUGACUAGAGAAUGAUAGAGGUGGGUGGAACUGAUGGUGGAGCGGUGAAAUGCGUUGAUAUCAUCAGGAACACCAGUGGCGAAGGCGACCCACUGGGUCAUUUCUGACGCUGAGGUACGAAAGCUAGGGUAGCGAACGGGAUUAGAUACCCGUGUAGUC